rnacentral:rRNA from 1 species
CUGAUCCAGCCAUSCCGCGUGCAGGAUGACGGCCCUAUGGGUUGUAAACUGCUUUUAUGAGAGAAGAAACGCCUUGWYKUAUAUAGGGUAUGACGGUAUUUCAUGAAUAAGCACCGGCUAAUUCUGUGCCAGCAGCCGCGGUAAUACUGGAGGGUGCAAGCGUUAUCGGGAAUCACUGGGUUUAAAGGGUGCGUAGKACGGUUAUGUAAGUCAUCAGGUGAAAUGUCAUCGCUUAUCGAUGAAAUUGCCUUUGAUACUGCUUAACUUGAAUAAGAAUGAGGUUGGCGGCAAUGUGACAUGWAGCGGUGAAAUGCAUAGAUAUGUCAUGRUAACACCGAUUGCGAAGGCAGCUGACUGGCACUUGAUUGACGAUGAGGCACGAAAGCGUGGGGAGCGAACAGGAUUARAUACCCUGGWAGUCCACGCCCUAAACAAUGUUAACUCGAUAUUCGCCUUUGASGUGACUGUCUAAGGGAAACCGAUAAUUUUAACCACCURGGGAGUACGUUCGMAAGAAUS